CUACGGGAGGCAGCAGUGGGGAAUAUUGCACACUGGGCGCAAGCCUGAUGCAGCCAUGCCGCGUGUGUGAAGAAGGCCUUCGGGUUGUAAAGCACUUUCAGUCGUGAGGAAGGUGGUAGUGUUAAUAGCACUAUCAUUUGACGUUAUCGACAGAAGAAGCACCGGCUAACUCCGUGCCAGCAGCCGCGGUAAUACGGAGGGUGCGAGCGUUAAUCGGAAUUACUGGGCGUAAAGCGCAUGCAGGUGGUUUGUUAAGUCAGAUGUGAAAGCCCGGGGCUCAACCUCGGAACUGCAUUUGAAACUGGCAGACUAGAGUAAUGUAGAGGGGGGUAGAAUUUCAGGUGUAGCGGUGAAAUGCGUAGAGAUCUGAAGGAAUACCGGUGGCGAAGGCGGCCCCCUGGACAGAUACUGACACUCAGAUGCGAAAGCGUGGGGAGCAAACAGGAUUAGAUACCCCAGUAGUC
rnacentral:rRNA from 1 species